rnacentral:rRNA from 1 species
GUAGGUGGCAAGCGUUAUCCGGAAUUACUGGGCGUAAAGCGUACGUAGGCGGUUCGGAAAGUCUGUCGUGAAAUCUCUCGGCUUAACUGGGAGCGGUCGAUGGAAACUUCCGGACUUGAGGAGCGUAGAAGUGAGCGGAAUUCCCGGUGUAGCGGUGAUAUGCGUAGAUAUCGGGAGGAACACCAGUGGCGAAAGCGGCUCACUAGGCGCCACCUGACGCUGAGGUACGAAAGCGUGGGGAGCGAACCGGAUUAGAUACCCGGGGUAGUCCACGCCGUAAACGAUGGAUGCUAGACGUGGGGGGUAAUCGACCCCCCUUCUGUGUGCAGCUAACGCAUUAAGCAUCCCGCCUGGGGACUACGGCCGCAAGCUA